AGGUGCUAAGUCUCUACUAAGGCCCAUAUGUGCUCCAGAGUUGUUCUCCAGUAAGGAGAGCAUCACCGUGCUUCAGAAACUGGGGUCAAAUAGAAAAUGUUGCUCAAGCCUUCUAUAUCUUCACUGAUUUUGAACGUACGCUGUCUAUAAAUUAUGUAUAAAGCUUGCUGGUGGCAAUUUACCCCAGUGUGACUAUCGGGAGCAGUGAAAUCAGCUGGAGAGAAGCCACAUGUACAUUUUUCUCAGUAAAAUAGUUUUGUGCUAUUAUCACCAGAGCCAGCAAUUCAACCUAAAUUCUGAGUGUAAUGGAAGCCAUUAAUCACUAUCAAGUUCAUCAUUUUUUUUCAUGCAAUCAACAGAGAAAACUUCUGUGACCACAUAUAUGAAGCUUUUUCUGACCAACAAGAAAGAAAUCAAUUCUGUAGCAGAUACUAGCAAGAUCUUAACUUUGCAACUUUGGAGCACUGACCCCAUUCCUUUGGAGUAUUUGCUACCUGAAUGGCUAUUCUCAGAUUUGCACUUCAAUAAAUUCUUCUAAGCUGGA